GACGAACGCUGGGCGGCGUGGAUUAGGCAUGCAAGUCGGACGGUAGGGCUUUAUCGUAAGAUAGAGUUUGAGAGUGGCGAACGGGUGAGUAACACGUAGGAAUCUACCCUUAAGACGGGGACAACCCAGGGAAACUUGGGCUAAUACCGGAUGAGAGUGCGAGAGAUUGCAUUUAAAAGGAUGGCGAAAGUUGUCGCUUAGGGAUGAGCCUGCGGUCUAUUAGUUAGUUGGUGAGGUAAGAGCUCACCAAGGCGAUGAUAGAUAGGCGGCCUUAACGGGUGGUCGCCCACACUGGGAUUGAGAUACGGCCCAGACUCCUACGGGAGGCAGCAGUCGAGAAUAGUCUACAAUGGCCGGAAGGCUGAUAGUGCGACGCCGCGUGAGCGAUGAAGGCCUUCGGGUCGUAAAGCUCUGUCCUCAAGGAAGAUAAUGACGGUACUUGAGGAGGAAGCCCCGGCUAACUACGUG
rnacentral:rRNA from 1 species